AAGGGCUUAGCUUAAUUAAAGUAGUUGAUUUGCAUUCAAUUGAUGUGAGAUAGAUUCUUGCAGUGUUUG
rnacentral:tRNA from 1 species